rnacentral:rRNA from 1 species
UUUUGGCGUUCCUAAUGUUUAAAUAAUUAAUGGAAAAAUUUUUUGUUUUCUUUCAGUACAGCGAUGGAAUUUUAUAUACUAGAAAGAUAAUUAAUAUAUUUUACCUUUAGUAUAAUGGUUGUACAAUAAUAAUAUUUCUUACUAGUUCUCGAAGUGAGAAGAGCUAUUAACUGUCCUAUAUUAGUAUAAUUUGGUUAUGUUGAAGUAUGGCCAUAAGAUUAGUUAAUAGGAGUGAAAAACUAUCAAUUCUCAAGAUAUCUAGAAACCCUUUAAAAGCAUUUAGUGCUGUUAGGUGAAAUACAGAGUGAUAAGAUUUUGUAUAAAGUAAUAUUGGUGAGGGUGUUUUACUUCUAAAUUUAACUCUACAGAGGUAAAUAAAGAAAACCAUUUAAUUCCCAAAUAAUUUAAAUAAUUAAGGGGUUAUUUUAAUUAAUUUAUAAUUAAGCUAAAGAAUGUAUAAAUAAGUAGUGUUUAUUACAAUUUAUGUAAGUAUAUAAAUCAAAAUGGUCGAAAGGAACUCGGCAAAUAUAAUCUUCGACUGUUUACCAAAAACAUAGCUUCGGGAGUAGAUCCGAGGUUUUACCUGCCCAGUGUAUAUUUAAUAAAUGGCCGCGGUACCCUGACCGUGCUAAGGUAGCGCAAUCAAUUGGCUUUUAAUUGGAGUCAUGUAUGAAUGGAGUUACGGGGAUUAGCUGUCUCUUGAUCAAUUUAUUGAAGUUACUAUUCAGGUGAAAAAGCCUGGAUUAAGAAAAAGGACGAGAAGACCCUUAGAGUUUGUUAGAAGUGAUAAGUUUUCACUAAUAUUUAAUUGGGGCAAUUAGGGAUUUCUUAACUUCCCUUGGCCAACAGACCGAUAUUUAUAAAGAUGGAUAAACUACCUUAGGGAUAACAGCAUUAUUUAAUAAAUAAGAUUGUGACCUCGAUGUUGGACUAGGGAAUUAGAAGGCUAGCCGUUUUCUAAUAAAGUUCUGUUCGAACUGUUUCCCCUACAUGAUCUGAGUUCAGACCGGCGUCAGCCAGGUCAGAUUCUAUCUUUUUACUUAAAGUCUUAGUACGAAAGGACCAGAUUUUAGUGUUAU